rfam:Rhodobacteraceae bacterium HTCC2083 scf_1106200183017 genomic scaffold, whole genome shotgun sequence.
AAAGACGGACUGGCUGAAUAAAGAUUUCCGUUACGAUGAAGGCGCUGCUGCACUGCAACCUUCAAUGAUUGAUCAAAGUCGUCUCAUUGGCUGAUCAAUUAUACCGCUGGA